rnacentral:rRNA from 1 species
UGCCAGCAGCCGCGGUAAUACGGAGGGUGCUAGCGUUGUUCGGAAUGACUGGGCGUAAAGGGCGCGUAGGCGGUUUUGUUAGUCAGGCGUGAAAUCCCUCGGCUCAACCGAGGAACUGCACCUGAUACUGGCGGACUCGAGGACGGUAGGGGCGAGUGGAACUCCAGGUGGAGCGGUGAAAUGCGUAGAUAUCUGGAGGAACACCGGUGGCGAAGGCGACUCACUGGACCGUAUCUGACGCUGAGGUGCGAAAGCUAGGGUAGCAAACGGGAUUAGAUA